GUUGGUUUUAUACUGAGUCGACGUCAUCCUGGAUUUAGUUCCUGUCGCUUUGGGUCUGAAAACUACCAUAGGAAUCCGUAGGCCCUUUACACAGCGGAGACCAAAUUCAGCCGCUCAUUAAAAUUCGCCACCAAGAGUAGCACUCCGAAGGGAAGGGACGUGUCUAGCUGCUCCCUGCGUGGCUGUCGGUAGGUUUUACGCUUUUUCUCUUCCUUUAUAAAAAUUAUUCUUGGAAAUGGGGUGUCUUCUCCUCCAGAUGGGUUGUUGGUUUUGUUUUGUUUUGUUUUGUUGCAAUCCAAAAAUCCAAAAAUGGGGCUCUGGGGAUUCCCCACUCCUUCCCCCAACAGUCCAGCUGCAUUUCCCCCCAUCCGUCUUGCCAGCUCCCUGGCUGGGACAGGCCCCCUAGCUGCCCUUCACCCGACAGGCCCCAGGCUGCGCUCCCCGAGCCCCGGCGGCCUGGCCGAAGCCGGGCCCCGCUCGCUGCAGGCGGCCGCCGUGAUUCACCGGAGCCCCAGCCGGCCGAGCUGCUGGAGAUGCCUCCAGCCCACGGCCAAGCGCAGGCGGCAGACGCCCUUCGAGAAGGGCAGUCGAUGGAAGACAACUAAAGGCUGCAGCUCCUGCAGUGACUCUGGCCGCGUUUGUGUUCAGGGUUGGGUGCUGGGGCAGCACUUAUGUGAGUGGAUCUUUUAA
rnacentral:lncRNA from 12 species